GUGUCAGCAGCCGCGGUAAGACGAACCGUGCGAACGUUAUUCGGAAUCACUGGGCUUAAAGCGCGUGCAGGCGGGCCGGCACGUCGGUCGCUGAAAUCCCCCGGCUCAACCGGGGAACGGGCGCCGAUACGACCGGCCUGGAGGGGGGUAGGGGGAGCCGGAACUCACGGUGGAGCGGUGAAAUGCGUUGAGAUCGUGAGGAACGCCCGUGGCGAAAGCGGGCUCCUGGACCUUGCCUGACGCUGAGACGCGAAAGCCAGGGGAGCGAACGGGAUUAGAAACCCCAGUAGUCC
rnacentral:rRNA from 1 species